CCGCUUGUUAAUUUCAUCUUCUGAAACACCGUCAAUGCAUUCUCGGACUUGACUGACGAAAGUGCUGAAAUUUGAAAACAUUGUUAAGGACAUUUCGUCUAUGCAAUCAAAAUAUAAUCAUGCAUGCUUAUUUGUAUAUAUGUACCUCUCGUAAGGUACCAAUUCCUCGCAAUUCAGAAGUAUAUAUGUAUGUGCGCUGUGGUAGUCCUGUUCGUUUGACCAACAAGUUUC
rnacentral:lncRNA from 1 species